GUCCACGACGUAAACGAUGUCUACUAGCCGUUGGGUUCCUUGAGGACUUAGUGGCGCAGCUAACGCAAUAAGUAGACCGCCUGGGGAGUACGGUCGCAAGAUUAAAACUCAAAUGAAUUGACGGGGGCCCCGCACAAGCGGUGGAGCAUGUGGUUUAAUUCGACGCAACGCGAAGAACCUUACCAGGUAUUGACAUCCAGAGAACUUUCCAGAGAUGGAUUGGUGCCUUCGGGAACUCUGAGACAGGUGCUGCAUGGCUGUCGU
rnacentral:rRNA from 1 species